rnacentral:rRNA from 1 species
ACGUAGGGGGCGAGCGUUGUCCGGAAUCACUGGGCGUAAAGCGCACGUAGGCGGGCUGUCAAGUCGGCCGUGAAAGGCACGGGCUCAACCUGUGCAUGUCGGUCGAUACUGGCGGUCUAGGGUAUGGGAGAUGUAAGUGGAAUUUCUGGUGUAGCGGUGAAAUGCGUAGAUAUCGGGAGGAAUACCGGUGGCGAAGGCGGGUUACAAGCCCAUGACUGACGCUGAGGCGCGAAAGUGGGGGGAUCGAACAG